rnacentral:rRNA from 1 species
UACGAAGGGGGCUAGCGUUGUUCGGAUUUACUGGGCGUAAAGAGCUCGUAGGCGGCUUGGUAAGUCAGGUGUGAAACCCCCGGGCUCAACCCGGGGACGCCACCUGAUACUGCUAUGGCUUGAGUCCGGUAGGGGAGCGUGGAAUUCCUGGUGUAGCGGUGAAAUGCGCAGAUAUCAGGAGGAACACCAGCGGCGAAGGCGGCGCUCUGGGCCUUACCUGACGCUGAGGCGCGAAAGCUAGGGGAGCGAACAGG